rnacentral:rRNA from 1 species
GACGGAGGAUGCAAGCGUUAUCCGGAAUUAUUGGGCGUAAAGAGCUCGUAGGCGGUUUGUCGCGUCUGCUGUGAAAACUCAGGGCUUAACUCUGAGCUUGCAGUGGGUACGGGCAGACUAGAGUGCGGUAGGGGAGACUGGAAUUCCUGGUGUAGCGGUGAAAUGCGCAGAUAUCAGGAGGAACACCGGUGGCGAAGGCGGGUCUCUGGGCCGUAACUGACGCUGAGGAGCGAAAGCAUGGGGAGCGAACAGG